rnacentral:snRNA from 1 species
GGAUGUGAAGGCGAUCUGGCUGCGACAUCUGUCACCCCAUUGAUUGCCAGGGUUGAUUCAGCUGAUCUGGCUGGCUAGGCGGGUGUCCCCUUCCUCCCUCAUUACUCCAUGUGUGUCCCUCCCAAAGCUGUGCGCUAGGUCGAAGAGUACGACCUUCCCCAAUAGAGGAGGACUGUUCUUCGGUCAAGGGUAUACAAGUAGCUGUGCUCCCUUGCUAGAACCUCCAAACAAGUUCUCAAGGUCCAUUUGUAGGAGAACAUAGGGUAGUCAAGCUUCCAAGACUCCAGACACAUCCAAAUGAGGUGCUGCACAUGGCAGUCUGCCUUUCUUU